CGCGGUAAUACGUAGGUGGCAAGCGUUAUCCGGAAUUAUUGGGCGUAAAGCGCGCGUAGGCGGUUUUUUAAGUCUGAUGUGAAAGCCCACGGCUCAACCGUGGAGGGUCAUUGGAAACUGGAAAACUUGAGUGCAGAAGAGGAAAGUGGAAUUCCAUGUGUAGCGGUGAAAUGCGCAGAGAUAUGGAGGAACACCAGUGGCGAAGGCGACUUUCUGGUCUGUAACUGACGCUGAUGUGCGAAAGCGUGGGGAUCAAACAGGAUUAGAUACCCUGGUAGUCCACGCCGUAAACGAUGAGUGCUAAGUGUUAGGGGGUUUCCGCCCCUUAGUGCUGCAGCUAACGCAUUAAGCACUCCGCCUGGGGAGU
rnacentral:rRNA from 1 species